GUAGUGAGUGUUUCAUCACUUUCAUAGUUUCAGACUUUCAGGUAGAGAAAGAGAGAGAAAGUUUGGGUACUGAAAAUCUGAAGCUUUGAGUUUCUAAGCUGUCAACCCAUUCUCCUUCUCGACUUCAUAAGUAUAUUGCUUAAGUUUCUUUGAUCCAGGUACAAAUUCAUAGAGUUCAGUUAGAGGAGUCACAAAGAAAGUGUCCAAAUGGAUCCUCGAUGUGUGAAGUGCGGUCGUAGGAUUGAAAAGCUCUACGUUCAAUAUUCGCCAGGAAAUAUCCGGCUUUUAAAGUGCGGCAACUGCAAGUCAGUUGCCGAUGAGUACAUAGAAUGCGAGCUCUUGAUUCUCGUCAUUGAUUUGGUCCUUCACAAGCCUCAAGCUUACAGGCACUUGCUCUUCAACGUGCUCCAUCACAAUAAUUCAGAUUUUGACACCUUAUUGUUCAAAGCAUCCUUCUUUUACCUCUUUCUUGAUGCUUACAAGUUAUGGAUUUUGAAUGAGACCUCAAAAGAGUUGUCGGUUUUGAGAUUGGGAUUGAAAACUUUGGGAUGUUCCCUUAUAGGGAAUCUGGUGUUCUUUUGUGUUCUUUUUGUGUUUUCAAGGAGAAUUUUUACUUUUAUAGAGGGUUUUUCCGGGUACAAAGAUGUGUUGCUCACCGUGGUUGUUUCAAGUUACUUGAAGAUUUAUACGCUGUCCAUGUUGGUCUGGGAAUUCCCUGCUUCAAUGGUUUAUAUCAUUGAUUUGUUUGUUAUGUCAUCUAAUCUGGUAGCUCUACGGGUGAUAUCUGAAUCCUCUUUUACUAAAUGUGUCGGGUUGUGCCUCGGUGCUCAUGCCAUGAAGUUCUUUGUAAACUGGAUGCUAAAAUAGUGAUGAUGUUGCUGUUGAAUUUUGGGUCAUUAAACACUCAUUCAUUUACAGGAUUCCAUACUUUUAUACUCGGUUAUCGAGAUAUAGUGAAUUGGGUGCUUUAAGAUCUAUUCGCGGUUAUUGAACAUGUUUAGAGAGAACACUCGUUUUUUAUUUUGACUGAAUGAAUUAUCUGGUUUCCUUGAUCUAGAAUAAAAUGUGUUUAUUAUGUUGCACUUUGAGCACAAUUUUUUUAGUAGCAGGUUGGUAACAUCUAACAUGGAUUCUCAGAAGAAUCCAGCUGAAACUAAAUCAUCUGCUACUGCACCAACUCCAGCAAUUGCUUCAUGUCGGAGGAAGAAGAAAGAUGACGCGACUUUCCUAGAGGAUUUAAAGGGCCAUAUUGAUGAGUUUAUCGAUGCUUCCAUGGAUGAACAUAAGUCAUGCUUCACAAAAACCAUUCAAAAGGGCAGAUGUUUUCAAUAUCGAAGAUAGUGGCACAACGGAAUUCUGAGCAGCGGGAAGUAGAGAGUGUUCUACCACUUCAGACUACAGUCUCAAAGUAGACCAUCUGAAAAUACCCCUCUUUUUUUACCCCUGUUUAUGUUAAUAACGUAUAUUUAUGAUAUUCUAUCAUCUAGGAUAACUACGUCAUCUUCAACAAUAUACUUGUGACUUAUAUUGUUCUUUCAGUAUGUAAUCUGGAAUCAAAUACUGAUAUUCACUUACAGCAAUGUUUACUUCUUUGCAAAUA